rnacentral:rRNA from 1 species
AUUGAACGCUGGCGGAAUGCUUUACACAUGCAAGUCGAACGGCAGCACGAGAGCUUGCUCUUGGUGGCGAGUGGCGAACGGGUGAGUAAUAUAUCGGAACGUAUCCAAUAAUGGGGGAUAACUAAUCGAAAGGUUAGCUAAUACCGCAUACGCCCUACGGGGAAAGCAGGGGAGUCUUCGGACCUUGCGUUAAUGGAGCGGCUGAUAUCUGAUUAGCUAGUAGGUGAGGUAAAGGCUCACCUAGGCUUCGAUCAGUAGCUGGUCUGAGAGGACGACCAGCCACACUGGAACUGAGACACGGUCCAGACUCCUACGGGAGGCAGCAGUGGGGAAUUUUGGACAAUGGGCGCAAGCCUGAUCCAGCCAUUCCGCGUGAGUGAAGAAGGCCUUCGGUUGUUAAAGGACUCUUUCGUCAAGGAAGAAACGAUACCGACGAAUAAUACGGUGUUAA